GAUGAACGCUGGCGGCAUGCCUAACACAUGCAAGUCGAACGGAGAUUACGGACGGAAGUUUUCGGAUGGAAGCCUGUAAUUCUUAGUGGCGGACGGGUGAGUAACGCGUGGGCAACCUGCCCUAUACAGGGGGAUAGCAGCUGGAAACGGCUGGUAAGACCGCAUAAGUCGGUUAAAUCGCAUGAUUUGAUCGGGAAAUGAGCAAUCAGGUAUAGGAUGGGCCCGCGUCCGAUUAGCCAGUUGGCAGGGUAAAAGCCUACCAAAGCGACGAUCGGUAGCCGGACUGAGAGGUCGGACGGCCACAUUGGGACUGAGACACGGCCCAAACUCCUACGGGAGGCAGCAGUGGGGGAUAUUGCACAAUGGAGGAAACUCUGAUGCAGCGACGCCGCGUGAGUGAAGAAGUAUUUCGGUAUGUAAAGCUCUAUCAGCAGGGAAGAUGAUGACGGUACCUGACUAAGAAGCCCCGGCUAACUACGUG
rnacentral:rRNA from 1 species